UACAGGGAGAGAGGGGGGAAAGGUGAGAGAGCGAUCGGAGAAGAGUCGAUGGGCGACACGAUGAGUUCUUCGUCCUCCUCGAACGCGUUUUCCUUCGUCCUCUACAACUACCCGCUGAUCUCCGCGAUCGUCGCCCAAUCCACCAAGUUCUUUACAACCCGACCUCUGGAAGUUCAUGCCAAAGAAAUCAUAUAUGAACUCAGCUGUUCAUUCAUCAGUCAAACUUGUCCUCUCGUGGAUGUGUAAGCUGUGCUCAAGCGAACCUUCUGCGACAGAGAUGGCUGAUAUCGUUGAGCAAAGCAUUUUAUCAUGACUCAGAUCCCAGAUUAUGUAAGAGAAGUUAUUCCAUAGAACACAACACAGACAAACAACAAGAAGGAUGAACAACUGAUCUGAUAGCAGAAGACACAAGGAUUCACUGAACUCAUCCUCUGCUCAGAUUUUAGAUGGUGUAUUGGGGUGACGAGCAACUAUCUGGUUAUAAGCAUUCAGCGUGAGGAAGUCGUCCAGCUCCGGUGACGUGCACUGCCUGGUGAAGA